rnacentral:rRNA from 1 species
CCUACGGGGGGCAGCAGUGAGGAAUAUUGGUCAAUGGACGCAAGUCUGAACCAGCCAUGCCGCGUGCAGGAAGACGGCUCUAUGAGUUGUAAACUGCUUUUGUACGAGGGUAAACGCAGAUACGCGUAUCUGUCUGAAAGUAUCGUACGAAUAAGGAUCGGCUAACUCCGUGCCAGCAGCCGCGGUAAUACGGAGGAUUCAAGCGUUAUCCGGAUUUAUUGGGUUUAAAGGGUGCGUAGGCGGUCGGAUAAGUUAGAGGUGAAAUCCCGAGGCUCAACUUCGGAAGUGCCUCUGAUACUGUUCGGCUAGAGAGUAGUUGCGGUAGGCGGAAUGUAUGGUGUAGCGGUGAAAUGCUUAGAGAUCAUACAGAACACCGAUUGCGAAGGCAGCUUACCAAGCUACUUCUGACGUUGAGGCACGAAAGCGUGGGGAGCGAACAGGAUUAGAUACCCUAGUAGUC